rnacentral:rRNA from 1 species
CACUCCCAGCUNGGGGAGGUAGUGACGAAAAAUANCGAUACGGGANUCAUCCGAGGCCCNGUAAUCGGAAUGAGUACACUUUAAAACNUUGGUCACACGAGGAUCAAUUGGAGGGCAAGUCUGGUGCCAGCAGCCGCGGUAAUUCCAGCUNCAAUAGCGUAUAUUAAAGUUGUUGCGGUUAAAAAGCUCGUAGUCGGAUCUGUGUCCUCGCGACGUCGGACCACCAUGUGCUGCCACGGUCUCCGUGCGCGGCCAGGUGUUUGUUCCCGGCGUGUCAGCGGGACGUCCUGCCGGUAGGCGGACACGUGUCCGUCGUGGCGCCUCGCGUCGCACGGAAGGCGGCCGCCGUUUAAAUCUGCGCGUGCGAUGCCCUUGUGGUUCGUACGGCGGGCCGGCACGUUUACUUUGAACAAAUUAGAGUGCUCAAAGCAGGCUUUAACGUGGCGGGGUACGCUCCGCGUGCCUNCGUCGUACAGCCCUGAAUAUGGUCGCAUGGAAUAAUGGAACAAGACCUCGGUCCCGCCUCUACGCUGUCCCGCAGCGCGUGAACGUAGCCCUCGCGGCCGUUCCGUGCGCGGGUCGCCGGUCGGGGCCCCG